UACGUUACUGUGGAAAUGAUCGCAAUAUGGCGAAUAAGAUGCAUCUUAAUUGCGAAACACUAAAACGAUUAUACCACUUCGCCAAGUUUCACUCAUCAAAACGCGCGGAUUUUAUUGUUUCAUUAAAACAUGAGUUUUAUCACUGAAUAUUCAUUGAUUCAUCUCCGAAUAUUCGUUGAUAAUCAAUGAAUACUCAUUGAAUUUUCAACGAAUAGUUGAAUAUUCAUGAAUAAUCAAGCAUGAAUAUUUGUUUGAAUGAAUUAUUCGAAUAAAUUUAAGAAUAAAUAUUCCAAUACAAAAAGGUGAAAAAGUCCCAGCCCUAGUCUAUAAUUCAUUAUCUCAAGAGGAUCAUUUCUCUUAAAGAUAGGAACUAAUAUUGCAACCUUCAGUAAUUCGGGAAAAACGCCACAAGAUACUGAAAGAUUGACCAGAUAUUUGAUCAACACAUGAACUUACUUUAUUUUUCAAUGAUCUAAUAAUAUCCACUAUCUCUGUGUCUACUAUUGGCAUAAAGAAGAAAGUAUUAUCCUCUAUUUGAGGUGAAGUAUAUGAUUCAGAUAUUGCAUUACCAUAAUGAUUAUUUAAACUAAUAUUAUUAAUAGUUGAAAAGUACUCAACAAAUGCUUCCGCUAUUGCUUUAGAAUCAUGGCAAACAAUACCAUUUAUUCUGAGCUUUGUAAUAGCAUUUGUAUUCGCCAAUCUUCCAGUCUUGCGACAAGAUUCCAUACCGUUUUAUUUUUAUUAGAUGAAUUAUUGAUUCGUUUUUGAUAAUAUUCUAGUUUAGUUUGCUUCAAAAGAUAAUUGUAGGAGUUUUUCAUUUUUUGUACUUAUCUAAAGUAGUCUCUGAAGGCAGGUUAGUGCACAACCAAUGAAGAUCCUUCAAUUCACGACUUGCCAACUUUAUUUCUAGUGUAAUCCAUCCAUGAGACAGUUUUGGAUGGGUUACAGAUCUCAACGGACAACAUUCAUCAAUAAGGUCGCUAAUCACCUCAACAAAACACUCAAAACCACUAUUAAUGUCUGCACACCUAUACAUAUACAUACUAUAUUGGAUUUGUUACAUGUGCGUGGCUCCCUCAUCCAAAAUUUCAACAAGAGAGCUUUGUGGUCGCUGAAAUGAGUCUCCAGUAUUUCAUUCUCCAGCUCAUCAAGAUUCAAGUUUGUUAUGAUAUAGUCUAUUUGUGAUGUUGUAGUCUUACCCUUAAGGUUUGUAAACACACGUGUAGGUCCCCCUGAAUCUACCUUGAGCCAGUAGGAGUCCAACAAAUCCAAAAGAAGUUGCUUCUGGAGAGAACUCUUGAUAAAAUCCAAAUUAAGAUCACCGCACACAAAUGUAAUGUCUUUUUCAUUAUUGCAUCGGCUAUAAGCAGGCUGCUACUUUUUGUCGACAAGCACACAAACAUGGUGGAACAAUGAUUUACACAAAAUCUGAUAUAGAAUCAGAAGAACUGAAAGUUACGGACUUAUCAGUCGAGUUGCAGUGCAAGUUCUGAGCAAUUUCCAUAAUUUUUUCCUAAUUGACAAAAUGGACAUCAAUACUGGUAUCAUUAUUGGAAGAAAGAGUGGAAUAUAAACUGCAUAUCUGAAAAAAAAAUAAAGUUUGCCAGAACACUACCAGAUUGAUACUAGAAUA